rnacentral:rRNA from 1 species
GACGAACGCUGGCGGCGUGCCUAAUACAUGCAAGUCGAGCGCAGGAAGCUCACGGAACUCUUCGGAGGGAAGUGAAGGGAAUGAGCGGCGGACGGGUGAGUAACACGUAAGGAACCUGCCCCAAGGAUUGGGAUAACUCCGAGAAAUCGGAGCUAAUACCGAAUAGUUCUUCAGACCGCAUGGUCUGAUGAUGAAAGGCGCUUCGGCGUCACCUUGGGAUGGCCUUGCGGUGCAUUAGCUAGUUGGUGGGGUAAUGGCCCACCAAGGCGACGAUGCAUAGCCGACCUGAGAGGGUGAUCGGCCACACUGGGACUGAGACACGGCCCAGACUCCUACGGGAGGCAGCAGUAGGGAAUCUUCCACAAUGGACGAAAGUCUGAUGGAGCAACGCCGCGUGAGUGAUGAAGGUUUUCGGAUCGUAAAACUCUGUUGUAAGGGAAGAACAGGUAUGAGAGGUAAUGCUCAUGCUAUGACAGUACCUUGCGAGAAAGCCACGGCUAACUACGUGCCAGCAGCCGCGGUAACAC